rnacentral:rRNA from 1 species
UACGGAGGAUGCAAGCGUUAUCCGGAAUGAUUGGGCGUAAAGCGUCCGCAGGUGGCUAUGUAAGUCUGCUGUUAAAGAGUGAGGCUCAACCUCAUAAAAGCAGUGGAAACUACAUGGCUAGAGUGCGUUCGGGGCAGAGGGAAUUCCUGGUGUAGCGGUGAAAUGCGUAGAGAUCAGGAAGAACACCGGUGGCGAAAGCGCUCUGCUAGGCCGCAACUGACACUGAGGGACGAAAGCUAGGGGAGCGAAUGGG